GGCUCAGAUGAAACGCUGGCGGCGUGCUUAACACAUGCAAGUCGAUCGGUAACAGGUGUAGCAAUACAUGCUGACGAGAGGCGGACGGGUGAGGAAUAUUUGGGAAUCUGCCCAUCAGCGGGGGACAACCCGGGGAAACUCGGGCUAAUACCGCAUACGCUCUACGGAGGAAAGCCGGGGACCGCAAGGCCUGGCACUGAUGGAUGAGCCCAAAUCGGAUUAGCUAGUUGGCGGGGUAACGGCCCACCAAGGCGACGAUCCGUAGCUGGUCUGAGAGGACGAUCAGCCACACCGGAACUGAGACACGGUCCGGACUCCUACGGGAGGCAGCAGUGGGGAAUAUUGGACAAUGGGGGAAACCCUGAUCCAGCGACGCCGCGUGGGUGAAGAAGGCCUGCGGGUUGUAAAGCCCUUUCGGUAGGGACGAAAACUCUUGCCCUAACAAGGCAGGAGCUUGACUUAACCUACAUAAGAAGCACCGGCUAACUCUGUGCCAGCAGCCGCGGUAAUACAGAGGGUGCGAGCGUUAAUCGGAAUUACUGGGCGUAAAGCGCACGUAGGCGGCUUUGUAAGUCGGAUGUGAAAUCCCCGGGCCCAACCUGGGAACUGCACCCGAAACUACAUUGCUAGAGUAUGGGAGAGGGAGGCGGAAUUUCCGGUGUAGCAGUGAAAUGCGUAGAUAUCGGAAGGAACAUCAGUGGCGAAGGCGGCCUCCUGGACCAAUACUGACGCUCAGGUGCGAAAGCGUGGGGAGCAAACAGGAUUAGAUACCCUGGUAGUCCACGCCCUAAACGAUGAGAACUGGAUGUCGGGAGGGUUUGCCUUCCGGUGUCGUAGCUAACGCGAUAAGUUCUCCGCCUGGGGAGUACGGCCGCAAGGGUGAAACUUAAAU
rnacentral:rRNA from 1 species